UUUCAGUUUGCCCGGAUGGUGGUGAGCAGGGUCCACAGGCCCUCUGCCUUCACCCUUACGGAUGAGGAUCCCAACUGUGAGUGACAGCGGCACCACACAGAGGGUCCCGCCCCCACCCAGUCUGUCCAGAGCCAGAAGCAGCUCGAACUCAAGCAGGGACCCUGCAGCCACAGGGUCCUCAGCGCUCGUCUGAGUCAGGCUGCACCUCAUGUGGACGCACCGUUUCGGACUCUCCGGACUCUUUUGCUCAGCUUCCUGGGGAGCUCUGAGACUCGAACCCGUUUCCGUGUCUCCAUUCUG
rnacentral:lncRNA from 1 species